rnacentral:rRNA from 1 species
AGAGUUUGAUCAUGGCUCAGGAUGAACGCUAGCGGCAGGCUUAACACAUGCAAGUCGAACGGUAACAUUGGUGCUUGCACCAGAUGACGAGUGGCGCACGGGUGCGUAACGCGUAUGCAAUCUACCUUUUACUGGAGUAUAGCCCAGAGAAAUUUGGAAUAAUUCUCCAUAAUAUCAUUUAAUCGCAUGAUUUUUUGACUAAAGCUUCGGUGGUAAAAGAUGAGCAUGCGUUCUAUUAGCUAGUAGGUAAGGUAACGGCUUACCUAGGCAACGAUAGAUAGGGGUCCUGAGAGGGAAAUCCCCCACACUGGUACUGAGACACGGACCAGACUCCUACGGGAGGCAGCAGUGAGGAAUAUUGGACAAUGGACGAAAGUCUGAUCCAGCCAUGCCGCGUGCAGGAUGAAUGCCCUAUGGGUUGUAAACUGCUUUUAUAUAGGAAGAAAACCCUCCACGUGUGGAGGCUUGACGGUACUAUAAGAAUAAGGAUCGGCUAACUCCGUGCCAGCCGCCGCGGUAAUUC